rnacentral:rRNA from 1 species
UACAGAGGUCCCAAGCGUUGUUCGGAUUCACUGGGCGUAAAGGGUGCGUAGGCGGUCGGGUAAGUCUGAUGUGAAAUCCCGGAGCUUAACUCCGGAAUGGCAUUGGAUACUAUCCGGCUGGAGGAUCGGAGGGGGGACUGGAAUUCUCGGUGUAGCAGUGAAAUGCGUAGAUAUCGAGAGGAACACCAGUGGCGAAGGCGAGUCCCUGGACGAUUCCUGACGCUGAGGCACGAAAGCUAGGGGAG